UACGUAGGGUGCAAGCGUUAAUCGGAAUUACUGGGCGUAAAGCGUGCGCAGGCGGUGAUGUAAGACAGGUGUGAAAUCCCCGGGCUUAACCUGGGAACUGCAUUUGUGACUGCAUCGCUGGAGUGCGGCAGAGGGGGAUGGAAUUCCGCGUGUAGCAGUGAAAUGCGUAGAUAUUCGUAGGAACACCAAUGGCGAAGGCAGCUUGCUGGGCAACUCCUGACACUGAGGUACGAAAGCGUGGGGAGCGAACAGG
rnacentral:rRNA from 1 species